rnacentral:misc_RNA from 1 species
GAUGAAGAACGCAGCGAAAUGCGAUAAGUAAUGUGAAUUGCAGAAUUCAGUGAAUCAUCGAAUCUUUGAACGCACAUUGCGCCCGCCAGUAUUCUGGCGAGCAUGCCUGUUCGAGCGUCAUUUCAACCAUCAAGCCCCAGGCUUGUGUUGGAGCCCUGCGGCUGCCGCAGCCUCCCAAAACCAGUGGCGGGCUCGCUAUCACACCGAGUGCAGUAGUUUACUCUUCGCUCAGGGCGUGUGGCGGGUGCUAGCCGUGAAACCCCCAACUUCUCAAGGUUGAUCUCGGAUCAGGUAGGAAUACCCGCUGAACUUAAGCAUAUCAAUAAGCGGAGGA